UAUAUUUGCCGCGCAAUAAAAGCUACAUAAGAAUCAUUUUAAUAAUAUUGGCAUG
ncrna:unclassified sequences S15-Flavobacteria ribosomal protein leader